GACGAACGCUGGCGGCGUGCUUAACACAUGCAAGUCGAACGAAGGAAGAGGAGCUUGCCUCUCUGGAUUAGUGGCGAACGGGUGAGUAACACGUGAGCAAAACGCCCCUAACUGCGGGAUAACAACGGGGAAAUGCGGCUAAUACCGGAGAUGAGAUGAACAGGCACCUGGAUCGGUGGGGAAGAAUGUCGGUCCGGGAUGGGCUCGCGGGCUACCAGCUUGUUGGGGAGGUUGCGACUCACAAAGGCUACGAAGGGAAGCCGGCCUGAGCGCGUGACCGGCCACCUUGGGCCUGCGACACGCCCCAGACUCCUACGUGACGCAGCAGUGGGGAAUCUUGCACAAUGGGCGCACGUCUGAUGCAGCAACGCCCCGUGCGUGAUGACCUCCUUCUAGUUGUAAACCUCUUUGAGCAGAGAAGAAGCGAUAGUGACGGUACCUGCUGAAAAAGCGCCGGCUAACUACGUG
rnacentral:rRNA from 1 species